rnacentral:snoRNA from 1 species
CUGCAGCUAAUUAAACAGAAUCUGCUGUUUCCCACAUGGGCCAGUGUACACUGUCUGCAAACAGCAGCCCCCUAGGAGUAUCUGCAGCCCUUCAAUGCCUUGGAGACAGGC